CUAGGUCUACGCAAGCAGGCACAUGGCCUGAGACUUGCCGUGGGUGACCGUGAGCCUCCCAUGGGUCACGGAGGCUGGCUCUAGCCGCAACCCAGCCAAGGGUGUACUCAUGCCACCACCGGUUUCGCUACUACCCAUGCCAUCGCGAUUCCGCCUCUGCUCCUCCACCGAUAAUGUCUCAAAUAAGAUCGCAAAUCUGUCAAGUACGUAGGUGCGCUCGAGCGCAUCACAAGUAGGAUCGAGCACACUCUUGCUGGAAAGUUCGAAAAGAGCCCUAAUCCACCCUAGAGAAGGUUUUCAAUCUCCUACUUGGACUAUGAGACUGACCUAUGACUUUUUUGGGAUCUCUAGGGCUUCUAGGACUUGUUUGCUCCCUAUAAAUAGCUCUCAAGGCUUCAAGAAAAGGUGUGCUUAGUUUUAGAGACAAAAAUCUUUUUAGAAGCUUGACAAGUUGAAGAGGAGAUAAUCCAUGGCUGAAGGCCAUCCCAGCACCCCGAUGAGCGGCUAAUCCUGUAAUAGGGCAUUGAUGUAGCCCUUUCCAAGUAACAAUGGUUUAAUUAUAUUUUAAUUUGGGCUUUUCUAUAUGCAUGAUGGUUGUAUAACUGUGAGAAUUGAUCUUAAUGUUUAUAUUCAAUCAUAAUAAAUUUCUUAUCUU